AUGGGCCUGUGUGUGUCGUACGACGCGGCGGCCGCGAGGGUGGUGCUCCCCAGCGGCGAGCUCCGGGAGUACUCGCCUCCCGCGACGGCAGCGCUGGCUCUUGAGGAGGUGGGGCACCAGGAGUGGUUCGUCUGCGACGCCGACGCGAUGGGGUUCGAGGGCUCCGUCGCGGCGAUGGCCGCCGGUGAGCAGCUCCGGCCGGGGCAGAUCUACUUCGUGCUCCCCGCAGAGAUGCUGCGCCGCUGCCUCACAGGCGAGGAGGUGGCCUCGCUCGUCGUCAAGGCCAGCGCCGCCCUCGUCAAGGCCGCCACCGCCUCGUCAGCUGGCGGCCGGCGCCGGCGAGGCUCCGUGGCGCCGCUCAUGUUCGCGCCGUCGGAGGAGGAUUACUCCGACGAAACCUUGGCGAAGUUUGCAGUGAAGCCGGCGGUGCCGCAGAAGCGGAGGGUGGCCUACCGAGGCGGGAGGUCGCCGCCGCGGUUCUCGCCCGACUUAACCGCCAUUUUGGAGAGCGAGUAG
rnacentral:rRNA from 1 species